GAGGUCAGCUUUCAGGAAUGUUAUGAAGAUGUGGAAGAUAAUGAGGACAAUGCUAAUGAAACAUCUGACAUAAUAUGUACAGUUUCAGAUACUAAGGAAAAAGAUUAUAAAAAUGUGGAGUUUGAAGUCGGUGAAGUAUCAAACAGACAUUUACUUUCAUAUACUGAGAAAACUGAAAAUAUUGAAGGAACAGAUGAGUUAUUUAGAUCCCUGAUACUCAUAAAAAGUAAAAAAAGCAAAGACUCGUGUGACAGUGGAAUAGGCGAUUCCAAUUCAAACAAG